UGAAAGAAUUAUUUACAAAAAUGCCGGGUAAAAGGAGACCGUGGCGAAAAGAAUUGAAAAAACAACAACGAAAACGCAAAAGACGAAAUGCUGCUAUUACACGCGAUCGACUGUUGGAAGAGGAAGAAGCAAGGAAACUCAAAGACUGUGCCUAUCAACAGUUUUUACAACAGCAAGCGCUGCUUGAAGCACAGAAAUUACGCGAAAUUGAAAGACUGCACGACGCAGAAGAAGAAGCUUGGCUUAGGCGUGACCUAUUAGCUCAUCGCCAAUUCCGCCUACAACAACAGCAACGUGCCGCAGCGGAAGAUGCUAUACGCGUAAAGCAAGAAAAGGAGUUGAUAGCGAAGUUAGCAGAGGAGCAACGGCGACGUGACGAACGUGAAAAACGUGAGGCGGCCGCUGCUGCUGAAUUUGAGCAAAUGAUGAAAUGUAUGGAAACAUUUCUCAAUAAUGGAGGUGAGCCACCGGCAGAACUACGUCGUAUGGUAGAAUCACGACCCGGACAGAAGUUAUGCGCCUUAUAUGAACGUACAAAUUGCUGUCGUUAUGGACCGUCUUGCAUUAACAAUCAUCGUCGGCCAUUACUCUCCAAUAUCAUUGUGGUGCGUCACUUUUUUAUGCAUCCCCUGCUGGAAGAGGAAAACGAACACCAGGAAUAUGCGAAUGCUGAUGGUAACCUGGAGCUAAGUGAACAAGAUUUAUUUGAAGCCUACAAUGAAUUCUUUGAAGAUGUUGUGCCGGAAUUCGAAGAGUUCGGCUAUAUACAGAAUUUUCGGGCAAUACGAAAUAUACUGCGGCACUUGAGAGGACAUGUGUUUGUCGAGUAUAUAGAAGAAAGAUCUGCUCUAAAGGCUUUUAUAAAGCUGCAAGGACGUUAUUAUGCUGGAAAACAACUAAAUGUUGAAUUUGCAAACAUACAGACGUGGCGCAGUGCAAUUUGUGGUACGUGAAGCAAAACAGCUUAAGCCGACAUGUUAGAAUGGUUUAUCACAUUCACGUAAAUGCCUCAACGGCAACAAAUGUCAUUAUUUACAUUUGCUUAAUAAUCCAGACAAUAAGUACAACACACCAAUGGUUAUUAAUAGAACACCCACUAUUAAAGCCUAUAUGGCCACACCCUUAUUGAGCUGGAAUGCGGUGACAGCAAGCGAUGUGAAGCAAAGUUCGCGCAAUUGGCGUUGGUCCGAGAGCCCUGAAGUGGAGGUAUCAGCAGCGAGAAAUACGCCGGAGACUAAUAAUACCGAAACUAACAACACAAAACGUAGUAGCACUAGUGAAGUUAAAGAUAUCGAUAACAGGAAUGUUGCGCAAACUAGUGGCAAGAGUCACAGUGAUAAUAACAAAAAGCAUAAGCGAAAGAAACAUAAACAUGAACGAGAUAAAGCGUAUAAGAAGCAUAAACGGAAACGCGCGCACAGUUCCGACAGCGUUGACAGUGAUGAUGAACACCGUGGUAAACGCCAGAGUAAACAGAAAAGUAAAUAUUCACGAUCUUCGCCGUCGAGUUCAACUUAUAACGAUGACAGCGGUAAGCAUAGACGAUCUACUGUAAAGUUUCAUAAAGAAAUAAUGAACAAAGAUAAAAGUCAAAGUCGCUCAAAGGCAAGAGAUGAAAG
rnacentral:misc_RNA from 1 species